rnacentral:rRNA from 1 species
GGGUCAGUAGGUUGGUCGUGCCACCGGUACGUACUGGUCUCACUGAUUCCUCCUUCCUGAAGAACCGUAAUGCCAUUAAUUUGGUGUUGCGGGGAAACAGGACUGUUACUUUGAAAAAAUUAGAGUGUUUAAAGCAAGCUAACGCUUGAAUACAUUAGCAUGGAAUAAUGAAAUAGGACGAUCGAUCCUAUUUUGUUGGCUUCUAGGAUUGAUGUA